rnacentral:tRNA from 1 species
AAAAUCCGUCGACUUUAAAAAUCGUGAGGGUUCAAGUCCCUCCUAUCUAUA